GGGGAUGUGGCAGAGCGGAUUAAUGCACCAGACUGUAAAUCUGGCGAGCUUGUCUCUUCGGUGGUUCGAAUCCAUCCAUCCCCA
rnacentral:tRNA from 1 species